GGAAGGUUCGAACACUUUCUGUACUAUUCGACUAUUUUACUCUCGAUCUCAGGCACUAGGUUUUAUGGAUUUUUAAUUAUUUUAAUCUCGGUUUGACUUUGAGCACUUAUUACACAUACUUACCUUUGGCACUAGACGAAGUGGAUUGUUUAUGGAUUUUUGAAAGUUUUGGUUCGAGCAGAUGGUAUGUACAGAUAUCUCGAGUCCCCUAUGAGUCCCUCUAUCUAGGAACUAUGUACCAAAAGAGGGGAUACCCUAUAAGUCCUAUCUUGCGUGCCAGCAAGAUGAAGGAGGUGUAUAUACUUGGUAUGAUACACACACAAUUGACAUGACAAUAUUGGAUUUACUUUGCAUUUAAUCUAUUCAUAUGCAUUGAUUAUCACCAAUAUGUUUGUUUGUUUUUUGUACCUACUGAAUUUAUGAGGGCCUAGUUAGUUCAUGUUUGCUUUUGUGUACCUUCUUAGCUUAUGGGGCUCCGAAUAGAUUAUCGUUUGUUCUAGCUUAUGGGGCUCCGAAUAGAUUAUCUUUUGUUCUAGCUUAUCCUACUGUAUUAUUUUUUGGAUAUUAUUUUAUAGUUCAUGGCAGGUUUGAUCAUGGAUUUAUAUCCGAAGUUGCAGGUACGCUUCUGAGUUCUUUCGAUAUAAUGAACCUUUUGAAUAUUCAUAUUGCAGGUUAUACUUUUUUAUUGUGCUAGAGAAUGUUUCUUUCUUGCUUAUAACCCUAGCAAGAUUUAGGUUGUUACGCCAGCUUCCUCAGGUUAGUACCUUCUUGUUUAGCCUCAUAUACAGUACUGUUGUAUAUUCAUUUCUUUUCUAGCUACUCUUUUGUAUAUCUCUUUUUUCAUACUACUAUGAUAGAUUUUUUAGCUACUAUUAUAUAUCACUUUUGUCCCUAGUUACUGGUGGAAAAUGGUAGUUUAUCUUUCUCUCUCUAUUAUCUUUAUUGUAUUUUGUUUCUUAGUUAGUUGUUGUAAUGUUUAUUCUUGUAUUAUGUGUUACUUAUAUUUGCAUUAUCUUUAAAUCUCAGUCGUCCAAUACCUACUGAGUACCUCAUGUAAACUGAGCAUAACCAUUUUCUAUAUGAAAAAAGUAGGAAUAGCUGAACACCUUGAUAUAACAUAAUGAAUAUCUAAAACAUCAAUAAACUGAAGGACUAAUACUAUGCAUUAACUGGGCAUCUGAACUGCUAAAAACAUAUGAAAGUUCUGAAAAUAUGGUUGUUUGAGUUAUGGGAAAAUGCUAUAUGACUGAAUCAUAAAAGGAUAUGAAUCAUAAGAAACUGAAAGUGAAAGUGUUUUUAAUGUUUUUGCUUAAAACUGAAGAGGCCUUAGGCCAAAAUCAUGCUUAACUAAAAAUUCUAAGUUUCCUAGUUUGGGAGUUUCUUAUAAUCGGUAUACGCCACGUGGGAGUUUCUUGACAUCAACAAGAUUCUUUUUGUUGCUAUCCUAGAACCAAUGGUAAGCAAAGAAAAGAUAAAUGGCUAUAAAAAAUUCUUGGGAUUCUAGGAGUGUAUAUCUAAUGAUAAUGGUCAGAUUUGGUGUCUUUGGAAGACUAUUGGUCACACGUCUAUUAUUAUCAAUGAUGAUCAACAAAUUAACAUUAAGUUGGAGGAUACAUUGAACAAUAACUUCACUUCUAUCUCUUAUAUUUAUGCUAAAUACACAUUAGUAGAGAGACAAGAUCUUUGGAAUGGUUUGGAUUCAACUAGUAUGGUUAUUAACGACCCGUGGUGCAUUGAAGGGGAUUUUAAUGUCAUUAUUUACCCAGGGGAGAAGAUUGGUGGAAAGCCUCACAAAAUGUAUAAGAGUAUUGACUUCUUGAACUGCAUGGACAAUUGUGGUGUCACUGAUAUUGGUUUCUGAGGUCCUAAAUUUACUUGGUGCAAUAAUAGAAGACCAAGACAAAGAAUUUGGAAGAUACUUGAUAAGGUCUUUAUUAAUGAUAAAUGAGCCAGUUUGUUCCAGAAUACCACUGUUAAUCACCUCGCGAGGAUAGGUUCGGAUCACAGACCUCUUUUUAUAAAAUGUUUUAAUACUAAUCAAAAAAUUUAUCAAGUAUUUCAAGUUCCUCAACUUCUAGACCAAACAAGAUGGCUUUAUCAACAUUGGCAAAGAGACUUGGGAUACUCAGAUCAUAGGUAAUAACAUGUGGAGACUUCAGUCUAAAUUGAAAUUAAUUAGCAGGAAGCACAGCCAGUGGUAAAAAAACACCAUAAAGGAUGUUCAUGAUCAAGUACCCAAAUGGGAAGAAAAGAUCUAGGAUCUUGAGGAGCAAAAUAUUAUCAACAACUCAAAUAUUGAUAUAGAGAAGUCCAAUAAAGCACACACGGAGUAGUCAAGUGGACCAAUAUGCAAAAUUCCUUAACCAAACAAGCAGCUAAUGUAAAGUGGUUUGAGGAGGGAGAUUGUAAUACUAAUUAUUUUCAUAGCAUGCUCAGGGAGAAAAGAAGGAAAUUACAGCUGAAUACGAUAAAGAAUCACAAUGGUAAUUGGAUCCAUGGUGAGGACAAGAUCGUAAAAGCGUCUGUGAAAUACUUCAACUCUCUUUUCAACCUUCCUCCUACCACUUUGGACACUAACAUUUUGGAUUGCAUCACUAAAAAUAUUACAGAUGAAUACAAUGACAUCCUUAGUGCAAUCUCUACAGAGGAUGAAAUUAGGAAUGUUGUGUUCAAUCUGUCUGCUACUAGUACUUCUGGUCCAGACGGUUACAAUGGAACCUUUUUCCAUUGUUGUUAGGACAUCAUUAAGGAAGAUAUAAUUUCCUUUGUGAUUGAUUUUUUCAAGGUAAAUCUAUAUAAAUUAUAUUCACAUUCUUGCCAUGUGCUUAUUCUUAAAAUUGACAAUCCUAUCACUUUGUCUGAUUUUAGGCCUAUAAGUCUCUCUAAUUUGACUAGCAAAAUAAUCCAUUAAACUGAUGUUCCAAAGGAAAAAGGUGUCAAACUUGGUUUAACAGGUACUAACAAAAUAAUCUCUCAAUUUUGUCUAUUAGAUUGAAUCCUUUAUUAGCUAUGCUCAUCUCUCUUAAUCAAACUAGUUUUGUUAAAGAUAGACUUAUUACUGAGAACAUCCUUCUUGCUCAAGAAAUCAUCAAUCCAUUUCUGAUUCUAGUAAGGGUGGUAAUGUAGUAAUUAAAUUGUAUAAGGCCAAAGCAAACGAUAGAAUGUCUUGGCAUUUUGUCACUUCAGUUCUUAGGAAAUUUGGGUUUGCAGAAUCUUGGAUUAACAUAAUUCUUAAUCUUAUUUCUAGUAAUUGGAAUUCGACAUUAUCAAUGGCUCCAGGAGGGGUUUUUCUCCUCAACACAAGUACUCAAAUAAGGUGAUCAAAAUAAGUACCAUUGGAGAUAUUGGAAGAACCUAUGCUUCCCUCUUGAUGAAGGAGGUGUUGGUAUCAGAAGAAUGAUAGACAUUGGCAACACUCUAGCAGCCAAGAGUUGGUGGAGGUUCAUAACUAUUCCAUCCCUCUGGGAAACCUUUCUUAAAAACAAAUAUUGUAUUAAAGCACAUUGUCCUGUUAAAUCUUGUGUAUCUAGAAACUCUCACUCUUGGCAAAAGGUGCUUCAGGUGAGAGGUAAAAUAGAGCCUCAUAUCCAUUGGAAAAUUAAUUCUGGAAAUGCUAGUCUAUGGUGGGACAAUUGGACAAAAUUGGGUCCAUUAGAAACUCUUUUUCCAAGUGCAAGAAAGAGUACUAAGGACUUGGUCAGUCUCCUAUUUCACAAUGGAAAAUAGAAUAAUCACUUCAUGGAUCUUUUGCCAGAUAGUAUUUCUCAACACAUCAAGAGCAUUAGAAUUGGUAAUCAUGAUUUACCUGAUGAAGCUUAUUGGGAUCUUACAGGGGAUGGUAAAUAUUAUAAUAAAUCUUCUCUCCAGUUAUUCUGUAACACAAAGAGUAAAAAUAUUUUCCUUAACAAGGUUUGGCAUACUAGCAUACCUUUUAAAUUCUCUUUUCUAACAUGAAGGGCUUGUUAUCUAAACUGCCCUUUGAUGAUAUUGUAUCUAAAUUUGAAAAAUAGAUUGAUACUUUAUGUAAUUGUUGUACUAACUCUGUACCAGAGAUCAUUCAACAUGUCUUUAUUGAGAGUGAUGUAGCUAGGUACAUUUGGAAGACCAUUGGAUCCCCCCUAGGGAUUAUUCACCAGUUAUUGCCACUAAGAGGACUGCUUAAUCAUUGGUGGGAG